UACGGAGGGGGCUAGCGUUGUUCGGAAUUACUGGGCGUAAAGCGCACGUAGGCGGCUUGGAAAGUUGGAGGUGAAAGCCCGGAGCUCAACUCCGGAAUUGCCUUCAAAACUCCCGAGCUAGAGUUUGGAAGAGGAGAGUGGAAUUCCCAGUGUAGAGGUGAAAUUCGUAGAUAUUGGGAAGAACACCAGAGGCGAAGGCGGCUCUCUGGUCCAAAACUGACGCUGAGGUGCGAAAGCGUGGGGAGCAAAC
rnacentral:rRNA from 1 species